rnacentral:rRNA from 1 species
ACUCAAAGGAAUAGACGGGGGCCCGCACAAGCGGUGGAGCAUGUGGUUUAAUUCGACGCAACGCGAAGAACCUUACCAGGGCUUGACAUCCCGCGAAUCCCUUCGAAAGAAGGGAGUGCCCGCAAGGGAGCGCGGAGACAGGUGGUGCAUGGCUGUCGUCAGCUCGUGUCGUGAGAUGUUGGGUUAAGUCCCGCAACGAGCGCAACCCUCACCUCUUGUUGCCAUCAGGUCAUGCUGGGCACUCUAGAGGAACUGCCCCGGUCAACGGGGAGGAAGGCGGGGAUGACGUCAAGUCAUCAUGCCCCUUACGUCCUGGGCUACACACGUGCUACAAUGGCCGGUACAAAGGGAUGCCACACCGCGAGGUAGAGCUAAACCCAAAAAACCGGUCUAAGUUCAGAUUGGAGUCUGCAACUCGACUCCAUGAAGGAGGAAUCGCUAGUAAUCGCGUAUCAGCACGACGCGGUGAAUACGUUCCCGGGCCUUGUACACACCGCCCGU